CAUCAUCCUCAAACGUCCGAACACCUCCUCAUCAAGACACCUAUCAUGACACUGAAGAUGAACCUCAGAAUCAUUCACCUUGUUCUGUCAUAGAAGCAUCAGGCAAUGCUACUCCUGAUGAAGCUGCAAGUAAUAUCGAAAUUUGUGAGAAUAGCAGUACUGUCAAGCCUAUGCUUCCAAUAUUAAAGAAGCCUACUGCCACAAAAAAACUCAAGAAGGAGACUGAAGAGGAGAUGGAUAUGCGGUUCCUAAACGAACUAAAAUUACUGAGGGAACAAACGUUGCCACAAGAUAAUAAUGAUUCAGAUCGCCAUUUUCUGUUAAGUCUACUUCCCAUGGUGAAGCAACUGUCGCCAAUGGACAACUUAGAUUUUAGAAUUGAAAUGCAGGAAUCUCUCCGUAGGAAGAUUUAUAAACCUGAAUCCUCUGUCCAGUAUGGCUACUGGACUCAGCAAAAUCAGUUGCAUACACCAACACCAUCACCCUCACCAGGUACAUCCAGUGGAAGUGACACUAACAAUACUUGUUUUCGCCUCUGAGAAGCAACUUAGGAAUUAAUUAUUUUGUGCAAGAUCUUAGGAAUUAAUUAUUUUGUGCAAAGGUCUUAGGAAUUAAUUAUUUUGUGCAAGGUCUUAGGAAUUAAUUAUUUUGUGCAAAGGUCUUAUGAGUUUUAUCACUUUCCAGCAGAAAACACUGCUAUCUUCAUAUUUAGCCAAUAGCCUAGUUAGUUUACUAUUGUUCUACUUGUAAAAAUUAGUGUAAUGUACAAUAAAAUAGUUCCUACCUUAAAAA